AAAUUGAAGAGUUUGAUCAUGGCUCAGAUUGAACGCUGGCGGCAGGCCUAACACAUGCAAGUCGAACGGUAACAGGAAACAGCUUGCUGUUUCGCUGACGAGUGGCGGACGGGUGAGUAAUGUCUGGGAAACUGCCUGAUGGAGGGGGAUAACUACUGGAAACGGUAGCUAAUACCGCAUAACGUCGCAAGACCAAAGAGGGGGACCUUCGGGCCUCUUGCCAUCGGAUGUGCCCAGAUGGGAUUAGCUAGUAGGUGGGGUAACGGCUCACCUAGGCGACGAUCCCUAGCUGGUCUGAGAGGAUGACCAGCCACACUGGAACUGAGACACGGUCCAGACUCCUACGGGAGGCAGCAGUGGGGAAUAUUGCACAAUGGGCGCAAGCCUGAUGCAGCCAUGCCGCGUGUAUGAAGAAGGCCUUCGGGUUGUAAAGUACUUUCAGCGGGGAGGAAGGGAGUAAAGUUAAUACCUUUGCUCAUUGACGUUACCCGCAGAAGAAGCACCGGCUAACUCCGUGCCAGCAGCCGCGGUAAUACGGAGGGUGCAAGCGUUAAUCGGAAUUACUGGGCGUAAAGCGCACGCAGGCGGUUUGUUAAGUCAGAUGUGAAAUCCCCGGGCUCAACCUGGGAACUGCAUCUGAUACUGGCAGGCUUGAGUCUCGUAGAGGGGGGUAGAAUUCCAGGUGUAGCGGUGAAAUGCGUAGAGAUCUGGAGGAAUACCGGUGGCGAAGGCGGCCCCCUGGACGAAGACUGACGCUCAGGUGCGAAAGCGUGGGGAGCAAACAGGAUUAGAUACCCUGGUAGUCCACGCCGUAAACGAUGUCGACUUGGAGGUUGUGCCCUUGAGGCGUGGCUUCCGGAGCUAACGCGUUAAGUCGACCGCCUGGGGAGUACGGCCGCAAGGUUAAAACUCAAAUGAAUUGACGGGGGCCCGCACAAGCGGUGGAGCAUGUGGUUUAAUUCGAUGCAACGCGAAGAACCUUACCUGGUCUUGACAUCCACGGAAGUUUUCAGAGAUGAGAAUGUGCCUUCGGGAACCGUGAGACAGGUGCUGCAUGGCUGUCGUCAGCUCGUGUUGUGAAAUGUUGGGUUAAGUCCCGCAACGAGCGCAACCCUUAUCCUUUGUUGCCAGCGGUCCGGCCGGGAACUCAAAGGAGACUGCCAGUGAUAAACUGGAGGAAGGUGGGGAUGACGUCAAGUCAUCAUGGCCCUUACGACCAGGGCUACACACGUGCUACAAUGGCGCAUACAAAGAGAAGCGACCUCGCGAGAGCAAGCGGACCUCAUAAAGUGCGUCGUAGUCCGGAUUGGAGUCUGCAACUCGACUCCAUGAAGUCGGAAUCGCUAGUAAUCGUGGAUCAGAAUGCCACGGUGAAUACGUUCCCGGGCCUUGUACACACCGCCCGUCACACCAUGGGAGUGGGUUGCAAAAGAAGUAGGUAGCUUAACCUUCGGGAGGGCGCUUACCACUUUGUGAUUCAUGACUGGGGUGAAGUCGUAACAAGGUAACCGUAGGGGAACCUGCGGUUGGAUCACCUCCUUA
rnacentral:rRNA from 1 species